UCCAGUGAUCAGGGCGAAGGGGAUCCACCCGUUCCCAUGCCGACCACGGUCGUGAAGCCCUUCAGCGUCGAUGGUACUGCGCGGUCUCCGCGUGGGAGAGUAGAUCAUUGCUGGACU
rnacentral:rRNA from 1 species